AGUGAACGCUGGCGGUAGGCCUAACACAUGCAAAUCGAACGGCAGCACAGUAAGAGCUUGCUCUUACGGGUGGCGAGUGGCGGACGGGUGAGGAAUACAUCGGAAUCUACUUUUUCGUGGGGGAUAACGUAGGGAAACUUACGCUAAUACCGCAUACUACCUACGGGUGAAAGCAGGGGAUCUUCGGACCUUGCGCGAUUGAAUUAGCCGAUGUCGGAUUAGCUAGUUGGCGGGGUAAAGGCCCACCAAGGCGACGAUCCGUAGCUGGUCUGAGAGGAUGAUCAGCCACACUGGAACUGAGACACGGUCCAGACUCCUACGGGAGGCAGCAGUGGGGAAUAUUGGACAAUGGGCGCAAGCCUGAUCCAGCCAUACCGCGUGGGUGAAGAAGGCCUUCGGGUUGUAAAGCCCUUUUGUUGGGAAAGAAAAGCAGCAGGUUAAUACCCCGCUGUUCUGACGGUACCCAAAGAAUAAGCACCGGCUAACUUCGUG
rnacentral:rRNA from 1 species